UACGGAGGGUGCGAGCGUUGUUCGGAAUUACUGGGCGUAAAGCGCGUGUAGGCGGAUUUGCAAGUCAGGGGUGAAAUCCCCGAGCUCACCUUGGGAAGUGCCUUGGAUACUGCGUGUCUAGAGUCCGGGAGAGGGGGGUGGAAUUCCUAGUGUAGCGGUGAAAUUCGCAGAUAUCUGGAAGAACACCGGUGGCGAAGGCGGCCUACUGGACCGGGACUGACGCUGAGGUGCGAAAGCGUGGGGAGCAAACAGG
rnacentral:rRNA from 1 species